GAUCCUGGUUAAGGUGAAUGUGGAGCCAGCUGAGCACAGAGCAAGCACAUGAUUCCCCAAGGACCAGAGGAACUGUGUAGAGACCGAAAGCCAAGAGAGGAGUCAAAGACGAUAGUUGUCUUCCAUCGCCCUGGAGAAGGUCACUGUAAAGUAGUCCCUGUCUGUGAAGGAGAUAAGAGACUCCUGGAUCUAAGAAGAUGUGAGAGAAUCCGGAUGAGGUUAAAUUUAGUGAUGAAACCGA